rnacentral:rRNA from 1 species
UACGAAGGGGGCUAGCGUUGUUCGGAUUUACUGGGCGUAAAGCGUAUGCAGGCGGAUCGUUAAGUCGGGGGUGAAAUCCCGAGGCUCAACCUCGGAACUGCCUUCGAUACUGGCGAUCUUGAGUCCGGGAGAGGUGAGUGGAACUCCGAGUGUAGAGGUGAAAUUCGUAGAUAUUCGGAAGAACACCAGUGGCGAAGGCGGCUCACUGGCCCGGUACUGACGCUGAGAUACGAAAGCGUGGGGAGCAAACAGG